UAAGCAAUCUGAUUGGCUCACGUGACUGGCGCCCUCUUUGUUGGGGGCAAGGAAACUUCCGGUCGGUGCAGACCUGGCUUCCUCCGAUCUGAGUUUUUGACCUUCUCUGAAGAGCUUUUACAUUUCUGGCAAGGCAGGUCUACUGGCAACAAAUUCCAUCAACUUUUGUUUGUCUAAGAAAGUCUACUGCUCCUUCACUUUUGAAGAAUAAUUUCCAUGGAUACAGAAUUAUAGGUCAGUCACAUAAAUUUGUCAGGACAUACUGGAAAAAAAAGGACUAUCUCUUUGGUCAUAAAAGGAAACCACGCGCAGAGAAAGGGACUCACCUACAAGCUAUGACCAAAGGAUGGCAUUCCCGAAGGCCCAGGUGUCGCUCACCUUUCAGCUGAUGGUUCUCAAUGAGAAGCUCUCUCAUCUGCUGCAGCAGCUCAUGUGGGGUGAACGUGUCCAGGUUCGGGUGAGCCAGAUUGGGGGGUCCAUUUCCUGUGGUUUCGUUGGGGCUGUCCCCCUUUUCAGUCAGGCAGCUAACUGGCUGGUGGGACAUGGCAGCACUUU